rnacentral:rRNA from 1 species
UACGAAGGGGGCUAGCGUUGCUCGGAAUCACUGGGCGUAAAGGGUGCGUAGGCGGGUCUUUAAGUCAGGGGUGAAAUCCUGGAGCUCAACUCCAGAACUGCCUUUGAUACUGAAGAUCUUGAGUUCGGGAGAGGUGAGUGGAACUGCGAGUGUAGAGGUGAAAUUCGUAGAUAUUCGCAAGAACACCAGUGGCGAAGGCGGCUCACUGGGGCAUUCUUGACGCUGAGGCGCGAAAGCUGGGGGAGCAAACGGG